CGGGGUUUAGUGGCGCACGGGUGCGUAACGCGUGGGAAUCUGCCCUUAGGUUCGGAAUAACAGUUAGAAAUGACUGCUAAUACCGGAUGAUGACGUAAGUCCAAAGAUUUAUCGCCUAGGGAUGAGCCCGCGUAGGAUUAGCUAGUUGGUGUGGUAAAGGCGCACCAAGGCGACGAUCCUUAGCUGGUCUGAGAGGAGGAUCAGCCACACUGGGACUGAGACACGGCCCAGACUCCUACGGGAGGCAGCAGUGGGGAAUAUUGGACAAUGGGCGAAAGCCUGAUCCAGCAAUGCCGCGUGAGUGAUGAAGGCCUUAGGGUUGUAAAGCUCUUUUACCCGGGAUGAUAAUGACAGUACCGGGAGAAUAAGCCCCGGCUAACUCCGUG
rnacentral:rRNA from 1 species